UACUUUUCUACUAUAGUUUGUACGUCAAAAGAGUAGUAUGGCUAAUUGCAUAGUAUGCGAAAAACAGUAGACAAAAAGUACCCAGAUGACUUACUACUACUAGCGAGAUUUUGAAGUGCGCAUUCGAUGAACACUUUACUAUCCCAUGAGGCAACAGGAGAUGAGUUGUGAACUGAUGCUGUAGGUCACAUGACCAUAUCAACACCCCAUUGUAGUAAAUCCUUACUACAUAUAACAUGACUUCAAAUGGUUCUCUGUGGAGCCUCUGGUGCCGUUACAUCCAAUCAUGGUCUGGCUCCUAUCCCCAGGGAGUGCGUGUGUGAAGCCAGGGUGUCACUCCAUGACCAACCAGCCGAUAAAUAACCGUACCUAAUCAUGCUUGCUGCUCCACGGCACGACAAAGCGCAGACAUCAGCAUCUAUACAGUACCUGCCGAUCAGCUGCAUGGUAAAUAAACAUCUCUGACCUUCCUGCUGCUCGGCGACACUUGAACAGAGCGUAAACACGUUCAUGUCAGAAAUGCGUGGUCUUCUGGGGUUUCUCACCACACUCCACACCCAAGGUGCAUCUUGAGCCCCUGAUUCCCAUGGUGUGCACAUGUGAUGUCUGGUGCCAAUUCAUACACUGUCACUCUGAGAAAGGUGCACUUCCGAAUUCUUGUUACACUCAAAGCAAGGUGCAUGUGUGCCGGUCCCCAGGGACUCAGAGCUCUUACACCCAGGACAAAGUGCACCAUUCCCAGUCCCCAGAGGUUGCACGUGUGAAGACGGGUGUUAGCUAGUGCUGGGCAGCCAGUAAAUAACCGUAUCUGGCUUAGAACAACAAGAACUGUCAGAAGCUCGCAAUUUAUAUUUGAUUACAUCACAAUGACAUCUAACAGGCAUUCCAAAUUACUUUCAAUAAUGUCAGCUGCUAGUACAAUUCUCUCUAAUUCUCUCUCUAGUUAUUCUCUUAGGCUGAUGAUACACGAUGAUGAUAAAACUUUUUGAGCAAUUUUGCCGGGCAGCUGUUUUUGAGCAUGCUUUCUUGGGCACGUUUCCAUUGAGAAUGGGUAACAGAUUUCUAUCUGGAUACUUUAGAUCGUUCAUGGGCCCUGUGUCUCACCUGUUUCCCCUUUGACGGCUCCCCGUGUAUUAUCAGCCUUAGUUUCUAGACAAAAAUGGGGAUAUCCAAACUCUGAUGAAUAAUUCGUUUGUUUUCAUGCAACUUACUUGAUCAGCUUAACAUCUGUAUUCAACUGUUUACCUGAUAACCACAACUAUAACUCUACACUGUAAAAAAAGUCUGUAAAAAUACAGUACAAUAUACCGUAAUAAUUUGAAGGAAUUUUCAGUAAGUUAUUUGGUUUUUACAGGUGUUUUCCCGUAUUUUUUUAAAUUACGCUUUGCAUUGUGGGAACAAGAAGCUCAGUCGAUUAUCGGCGCGAAAACAGUGCAGGCUCCAUUAUUCACGGAGAUAGUUUCGGUCAAAAUUUCAUUUUUAAAGUCGGAUUUUGGGUUUGGGGAACUGUUCUUACACUUCCGUAGUAAAUUAGUUUUUGUUAAAUGUAACACAAACUGUAACUUUAACUUAGUUGCUGUCUAGCUUGUUUGGUAAAUGAAUGUCGGAGCCGUCAUAUUUAACACUUUCAGCACACUGUCACAUCUUUUACUCGACGACGUGGAGGAGCUAUUGAAGAAAAGUAAUUGUCAAGAAAAGAAGACACCAUUUACGACUUUAAAAAAAAAAAAAAUUUAAGAUAAGACUAGGUGAAGAUCUGACAUCGCAGAAUUCUUCAAGGAUAACGCCUUUUCUGCCAAACGAGGUCUAAUUGCUGCUGCUGUACUGUACACCCCAAGCACCCCCUGCAUUCUUAUCAUGGAUUGCUGUCAUUCAAGAAGUUAUCAUUUCCUCCCAUUGUGGCUGAGCUACACAUUCUCUUUGUUUUAUUUUAAACAUAAAACAUCCAGAGGAGAUGGCACCUAUGCUGGAAUCCAUACAAAUUCUUCCUGUGAAGAAAUCCUGAACGAGGGUCAAAGGUUGAGAUGAUGGGAAGCUACGCUUCCAAGACUUUGAGAAUCCAUGUACAAUUUGAGCUUUUUUCAAAUCUUAACAUGGAACUUGGACUGAACAUGCAGAAAAAAAGUAGUUUCCACAAACUGGCACAUGACAAGAGAUACUAAAAGCACACAAGUUUAGUUUAGUAUAGUUGUAUAGUAUAGUUUCACAUUGAAAUGUGAGGCAUGAGUGCAUGAAUCUUUGUUUUUUUUAUUUUCAAAUGCUGUACAAGAAAGUAUUUUUUGCAGUACCAUGUCAGUUGUAGAUGCAGAUAAUUUAGCAUGAAUUAGAGGUUAGUAAUCUAACUUAAAGGGUUAGUUCACCCAAAAUGUUAUAUGAAAAAUCUUGUUCCAAUCCUGUUAGACUUUUGUUCAUUUUUGGAACACUAAUGAAGAUCCUUUUUAAUGAAAUCUGACAGCUAUAACUUAUUGGACCUUGAAAUGGUUGUUGUAUAUGGUAGUUGUCAAUGGAAGGACAGAAAGCACAGAGAUUUAAUUAAAAAUACUCUUUGUUUGUGUUCCAAAUAUGAAUGAAAAUCUUAUGGAUUUGGAACGGUAUGAGGGUGAGUAACUAAUGACAGAAUUCACAUUUUUGGGUGAACUGUCCUUUUUAAAUAAUAUUGUGUUCUUCUAUAGGUUAAAUGGUGUAAACACUGGAACAUUUCACUUGACUAUUGACUAUAAGUCUAUAGCAAUUGUUAUUAAUGACAGCCCUGUCUUUGUAUUAAUUUUUUUCCCGCAUGUAUUUGAAAAUAUUUUGAAUCUUGACUGUUUCACAAUGAAGUUUAUCUUUUGUGACCACUAUUUGGUGCAACACCAGUAUUGUACAAGUCAAGUACCUGCUCAUUCUGCAUGUUGCUGUUUAAAACUAAAGUGUUCCACAAUACAAGCAUUUUCAGUGGUGCUUUACACAUUGUUAAAUUAAUUGAUGUAAUAAUAUUUUUGUCUUCACCUGUUUAAGGCAAAUAAAAGCUACUGAACACAGUUUUAAGAAUGUUUACAUGAGGUAAAAAUAAACCAUGUUCAAUUUGUA